AAUCAUACAAGGGCUAUAUUGACCACAGAACUGUCUACUCUGCAGUAAAUACAGCCACAGCACAAAUGGGGAAGUGACAGUGAGCUGUGAACUGGAAAUGCAUACUUAUAUAGUAGCAUCUACAUUCACAAGACAUUUUGCGACAGAGACUGGUCAACACACUUUUCACCAGAACGCUUGUUCAGGUCGACUAGAGAAAAUACUAGUCUUUAUUUCUGACAUGAAGACCCAAAUAUGGAAUAUCUUCUGUCUGACAAUGGUCUAUCUAUGGAAUGGACCUCUACCUGCAGGUGCCCAGGUCAGGCUGGUCAAUGGGAAUGGUCCCUGCUCUGGGAGAGUGGAGAUCUAUCACAACAGCCAGUGGGGAACAGUGUGUGAUGACAACUGGGAUAUGAAUGAUGCUAAGGUGGUCUGUAAACAGCUGGACUGUGGGAGUGCUUUGAGGUCCCCAGGGUCUGCCUACUUUGGUCAGGGCAGUGGGCAGAUCUUGAUGGAUAAUAUUGAAUGCUCCGGUAGUGAAAGCACACUCAGACAGUGCUCACACACUACAACACAUGACUGCAAACAUGGUGAAGAUGCUGGUGUUGUCUGCCUCUCAGUUGUCUUGUUACAGCCCAACAUCUCUCUCAAUGCUCCAAAUGGAGGGAUGUUCUGGGGACUUCAGGGGCCAGAGGUGACCAGGGGCCACAGCUUCUCCAUCACCUGCUCCAUUCAGCCACAGUAUCCUGGAGGCCUCUUCUAUCUGGACUUCUCUGGGUCCAACAGGACUGAAACUGAGCCAGCAGUCAACCACUCUGCCUCCUUUCACUUUCCUGUUGCAGACUAUACAGACCAGGGGAACUACAGUUGUGUUUAUGAAGUUAAUGUCUCCACCCUGUCAUUCCAUUCUACCAAGACAGAGUUGCUGACAGUCGGCAUUCGAGGUAAAAUACAUUUUAUCUUUAUGUUUUCAAGUGAAUAACCAUGAAGGCCAUCAAUGUUCAACCUUAAUAUGUGAUAACAAUACAACAGAACGUAUUAACCGGAAUGACAAAAAUUAUUAUCAAGCCACACCUCCUUGACCCACUGGGUGCUGGAUUGUUUAUGCUGGGUUAUUGAGUUAUCCUUUUUAGAUAAAACUAUACUAAAUAUAGUCACCAAAUAAUUGCUUAAAACAAAUAAUUGCUUAAAACACACUAUUUUGCAAAGGCCUACAGUAGCCUCAACAGCACUCUGUAGGGUAGCACAAUGGUGUAGCUUGAGGAUAACUAGCUUCCGUCCUACUCUGGGCACAUUGGAUUCAAUACAAAACCUAGGACACUCAUGGUUCUCACCCCCUUCCAUAGACUUACACAGUAAUUAUGACAAAUUCUGGAGGACAUCCUGCAGCCUAUCAGAGCUUUUGCAGCAUAAACUGACAUGUUGUCCACCCAGUCAAAGGAUCACAUAAUUAAUCUAGUACUGAAAGUGUACGCUACAGCUAGCAGUGCAGUGUAUAAAAUGUGGUGAGUAGUUGACUCAACCAGAGAGAACGACAAUAUUUUAACAGUUUUGAACAAAUUAAUUUAGUCCCGAAUCAAGGAGAAAUAGAGAGAGAGAUUUCGUAAUUUCAGUUUCACUUACUUAGCUAGCAGAUUUUGCCUACUGAAACACCCUGCUCAAACAGAGGGAUGCUAUGUUAGCUAGCUGGCUAUGACUUUCCAAAAUAACACUGGAAUACUUCCAAGUCAUGAUAAGCUUUUGGUAUUACUAAUUUAUUGCCACCGGGUCCUUCUCGCAUCUCUCCUCUUCCCUUCGCUUGUGGACUUCAAUGCACAACACAUCAGUUGUAUGUGACCAGGCUAAAAAAACCUGUCUGUCCAUGUGUCAUUGUCUGUCACCUCAAAUUUGUCUCUCAACCUGUGUGCAGCUAUUUUGUAAACUUUCCUUCAUAGGCUCGGUUGUAGCAACCUCAUGAUGGGUAUAGGGAAAAUUUGAGUAUCAUGUAGUAGCCUUAACCUAUCGCUGUUACAUUGAACUGGGUGAAUGGACUAUGAAUGAGUCAUCCAAUAUGCUGUAACAGAAAUAUGACCAUGCUCAUGAAAUCAAGUCCUCCUCCCUCAUCUUAAAUGGCACUAACCGCCACUGGUACAUAAGAUAAUACACAUCCCAAAUUUUUUUCUCAAUGUUGGGAUAUGUAAAUUAUAAUGUUGUGAAUUUUAUAUUAGAAUAUGUCAUGUGCAAAAAUAUAUAAAAUUAGUGCUGUACAAACUUAAAAUGAUAAACAGGAAUGACAUUUACUCUCAUUCACACCUCCUGAAAAUAAAUAACCUAUGGAUUACGUUAAAAAAGAACUAGCUGUUCGGUCAACACAAGUGAUGGUUAAAAAACAACAACUGAUGGUUAAGUUAACCCAUGCUGGUGUUGUCUGUUCAGGUAAGGUAUUCACCUUGUUCUGCCAUUCUCUCCUGCCUGACACAUUUCCAUUGCUUUAGUUGAUAUCAUGUAAUGGGUGAUGAGAUAAAAAAAAAAAACUGUCCAGUUCCAUGACUUGAAUGUCCAUCGCCUUCAUUUGUGUCCCCCUCCCCCAAACCUGCAAGGUGCCCAGGUCAGGCUGGUCAAUGGGAAUGGUCCCUGCUCUGGGAGCGUGGAGAUCUAUCACAACAGCCAGAGAGGGGAACAGUGUGUGAUGACAACUGGGAUAUGAAUGAUGCUAAGGUUGUCUUUAAACAGCUGGGCUGUGGGAGUGCUAUGAGUUCCCCAGGGUCUGUCCGCUUUGGUCAGGGUAAUGGGCAGAUCUGGAUGGAUAAUAUUGAAUGCUCUGAUAGUGAAAGCACACUCAGACAGUGCUCACACACUACAACACAUAACUGCAAUCAUAGUGAAGAUGCUGGUGUUGUCUGCCUCUCAGGUAGGAGGUGGUUUUAUCGUGCUAUUGGCAUCUUGUGACAUGAGUGAUGCACAAACAAUUUGAGAUCCUCGCAAAAGAAAAACAUUAAUAUAAAAAAAGAAAUGAACAAUGGGGUAGAAACACAACUAAAUUCAUUUGGAAUACCAUUGCUAGUGAAUUGAAAUGUGUUGCGUCAGUUAUAUGCAAUGUUCAUAGAUGACCAGUAGGGUCAAAUAAUAAUAAUAAUAAUCACUGUGGUUGUAGAAGGUGCAACAGGUCAGCACCUCAGGAGUAAAUGUCAGUUGGCUUUUCAUAGCCGAUCAUUCAGAGUUAGAGACAGCAGGUGCGGAAGAGAAAGAGAAUCGAAAACAGCAGCUGCAAAAUCUGGACCCCUACAAAUCAGCCGGGCUAGACAAUCUGGACCCUCUCUUUCUUAAAUUGUCUGCCAAAAUUGUUGCAACCCCUAUUACUAGCCUGUUCAACCUUUCUUUCGUAUCGUCUGAGAUUCGCAAAGAUUGGAAAGCUGCCACGGUCAUUCCCCUCUUCAAAGGGGGAGACACUCUAGACCCAAACUGCUACAGACCUAUAUCUAUCCUACCCUGCAUCUCUAAGGUCUUCGAAAGCCAAGUUAACAAACAGAUUACUGACCAUUUUGAAUCCCAUUGUACCUUCUCCGCUAUGCAAUCUGGUUUCCGAGCUGGUCAUGGGUGCACCUCAGCCAUGCUCAAGGUCCUUAACGAUAUCAUAACCGCCAUCGAUAAGAGACAUUACUGUGCAGCUGUAUUCAUCGACCUGGCCAAGGCAGACUCAACAGCCUUGGUUUCUCAAAUGAUUGCCUCGCCUGGUUCACCAACUACUUCUCUGAUAGAGCUCAGUGUGUCAAAUCGGAGGGCCUGUUGUCCGGACCUCUGGCAGUCUCUAUGGGGGUGCCACGGCGUUCAAUUCUUGGGCCGACUCUCUUCUCUGUGUACAUCAAUGAUGUCGCUCUUGCUGCUGGUGAUUCUCUAAUCCACCUCUACGCAGACGACACCAUUCUGUAUACUUCUGGCCCUUCUUUGGACACUGUGUUAACUAACCUCCAGACGAGCUUCAAUGCCAUACAACUCCUUCCGUGGCCUCCAACUGCUCUUAAACGCAAAUCAAAUUAAAUGCAUGCUAUUCAACCGAUCAUUGCCCGCACCUGCCCGCCCAUCCAGCAUCACUACUCUGGACGGCUCUGACUUAGAAUAUGUGGAUAACUACAAAUACCUAGGUGUCUGGCUAGACUGUAAACUCUCCUUCCAGACUCACAUUAAGCAUCUCCAAUCAAAAAUUCAAUCUAGAAUCGGCUUCCUAUUUCGCAACAAAGCUUCCUUCACUCAUGCUGCCUAACAUACCCUCGUAAAACUGACCAUCCUACCGAUCCUUGACUUCGGCGAUGUCAUCUAUAAAAUAGCCUCCAACACUCUACUCAGCAAACUGGAUGUAGUCUAUCACAGUGCCAUCCGUUUUGUCACCAAAGCCCCAUAUUCUACCCACCACUGCGACCUGUACGCUCUCGUUGGCUGGCCCUCGCUUCAUACUCAUCGCCAAACCCACUGGCUACAGGUUAUCUACAAGUCUCUGCUAGGUAAAGCCCCACCCUAUCUCAGCUCGCUGGUCACCAUAGCAGCACCCACUCGUAGCACACACUCCUGCAGGUAUAUCUCACUGGUCAUCCCCAAAGCCAAUUCCUCGUUUGGUCGCCUUUCCUUCCAGUUCUCUGCUGCCACUGACUGGAACGAACUGCAAAAAUCACUGAAGCUGGAGAUUCCCAUCUCCCUCACAAGCUUUAAGCUGUCAGAGCAGCUCACAGAUCACUGCACCUGUUGAUAGCCCAUCGGUAUACAGUCCAUCUAUCUACCUCAUUCCCAUACUGUAUUUAUUUAUUUUGCUCCUUUUGCACCACAGCAUCUCUACUUGCACAUCCAUCUUUUGCACAUCUACCAUUCCAGUGUUUAAUUGCCAUAUUGUAAUUACUUCGCCACCAUGGCCUAUUUAUUGCCUUAACUCCCUUAUUUGACCUUAUUUGCACUCACUGUAUAUAGACUUUUCCCCCCUUUUUUUUCUACUGUAUUAUUGACUGUAUGUUUUGUUCAUUCCAUGUGUAACUCUGUGUUGUUGUAUGUGUCGAACUGCUAUGCUUUAUCUUGGCCAGGUCGCAGUUGCAAAUGAGAACUUGUUCACAACUAGCUUACCGGGUUAAAUAAAGGUUAAAUAAAAAAAAAUAUUAAAUGAGGGGUCAUACCAAUUUCAGUAUGAGUCAAGGGUAUCCAGUCGAGACUUCAGCUCCCCUCAAAGUGACUGUUGAAUUAUCUGUUAUAGGUGAGCAACUAAACAUUAAUGAGUGAACACCAUCAGCAAGAGGAACACUGGGUUCCGAGAUGAUAUGUUCUUUAAUGCAAGAGUUUUGAUAUCUCUUCAUAAUGUAUUCUAACAUAGUGUUCUCUUGUCGAGAAAGAUUACUGUUAUGCUGCAGUUAAGUGCACACGUUAACAACCUGCUCUUGUCUUUUGCUAGUUGUCUUGUUACAGCCCAACAUCUCUCUCAAUGCUCCAAAUGGAGGGAUGUUCUGGGGUCUUCAGGGGCCAGAGGUGACCAGGGGCCACAGCUUCUCCAUCACCUGCUCCAUUCAGCCACAGUAUCCUGGAGGCCUCUUCUAUCUGGACUUCUCUGGGUCCAACAGGACUGAAACUGAGCCAGCAGUCAACCACUCUGCCUCCUUUCACUUUCCUGUUGCAGACUAUACAGACCAGGGGAACUACAGUUGUGUUUAUGAAGUUAAUGUCUCCACCCUGUCAUUCCAUUCUACCAAGACAGAGUUGCUGACAGUCAGCAUUCGAGCAUCCAUAGUCCCCAUUAUUGCCUCUGGUGCAAUAUGUGGGCUACUGCUCCUCCUCCUGCUACUCAUUCCUUGUCUAGUCUGGAAGAAGAUAAGCAGCAGAGAGCAGUCUAUUAUGAUAAACCCAAGAGAAACGAGGGAGGGAAAUGAUGAAGAGGACUAUGUCAAUGUAGAAACCUUUGUCAACAAGAGAAAAUUUGAAGACCUGAAAAAAGGAUGCAAUGCAGAAAUGUAUAUGAAAAAGGAGUUGCUUACCAGUAAAAAUAAUGAGAAUGCUCCAGGAGCCAUGAACAAGUUUGGAAACGACCAAGGUGAAUGGCCAGAGGCAAGUGAGGAAGAUGAGGCCGACUAUGAAAAUGCAGAUAUCUUCACAGAGAGGGAUUUUGCUGAAGACAUCUACGAUGAAGACAGUGAGUCUUUAGACCUGGAGCAGCUCACUUCAUGUAAAUCUGGAAGGGAGAAUGACUAUGAAGAGGAUGACAACAUAUACGCAAACUAUGAGUGAAGGCCUUGUAAUACAAAUGCUGAUGAAGAGAUAUUGAUGCCAGGAAAGGCAUGAAAGGUUUGCUUUGUGAGUUAAAAAAACAACUUUUUCAUCAAAAUGUUCACUUAGUAGAUAAGAGGAAAGGUUUGUUUGAAUAUGAAUUAGAAUUUCAACGUAAAUAGUUUGGGUGUAUUAUUUCUAGUUGUGUUGUUUCCAGGUACUUGUAUGAGAUUACUUGUAUAAUUACAUUAUAUUAUGGGGCUGCAGGGUAGCCUAGUGGUUAGAGCGUUGGACUAGUAACCGGAAGGUUGCAAGUUCAAAUCCCUGAGCUGACAAGGUACAAAUCUGUCGUUCUGCCCCUGAACAGGCAGUUAACCCACUGUUCCUAGGCCGUCAUUCUUAACUGACUUGCCUAGUUAAAUAGAGGUAAAAUAAAAUUAUUUACUUGUCUUGAUGAAUUGGCAGAUUGCAUUGAAAAUAAUCUAUUAUUUCAUUUUUUAAGUAAAUAUAUUAAUACUUUAGACUAUUUCUCUCCUAUAACGUCCAGUGUGCUGUCAAAGAAUAGUCUGUAGCAAUGACUGGUUGCGAUGUGCUAAACUUGAGAUCUACUCUAUGACAAACUGUAAAAACAAAAACAUUUGUACUGUGUGUGUAAAUCUAACAAUAAUUUGAUUUCAGUAUACAUUUUCAAUUAUUGUGUGUAUGGCUUUAAAGAACAUGAAAUCCAUGAACCCUGA